GACGAACCGUGCGAACGUUAUUCGGAAUCACUGGGCUUAAAGGGCGCGUAGGCGGGCUCGUAAGUCAGGGGUGAAAUCCCACGGCCCAACCGUGGAAGUGCCUCUGAUACUGCGGGCCUCGAGGGGGAUAGGGGCGUGCGGAGCUCAGGGUGGAGCGGUGAAAUGCGUAGAUAUCCUGAGGAACACCGGUGGCGAAAGCGGCGCGCUGGAUCCCUUCUGACGCUGAGGCGCGAAAGCCAGGGGAGCAAACGGG
rnacentral:rRNA from 1 species